GCUUCCCACCGUUAUUAUUGCACUGUGAAUACUAUGGAUUUGCAGCAUUAACAAGUGAUGACUAGGACUCAGCUCAGAGAGGAGGAGAGGAGAGGCUACUGAAGGUUCAUGCCUCCACCCCCAGGUGUUUACAUUAGAAAGAAUUCUAGAUUUGGAGAUAAGUGGAGACAAGUUCACCCCUGAAUAUUUAGUAAGGUGCUAAGGUACCUGUGGGAUUGCCUGAGUUGUGACUCUUAAGACAUUGCAAGUAAAAAGUUACAACUGACAUCAGCAUCCAACCAUUCUUCUUUACCCAGUGUUGGUUUCAUCUACCUGCUGCCCUACUGCAGAAUCAGAAAGUGGGAAUCUGCUUUGUGGCGGGAUGACGUUCACCAAGCAUCGUUCAGGGCUGGUUCACCAUGAUGCCUGUCCAAACCCCUGAGCACCUAGUGUCUGUACCACACAUGAUAACCACAGGAAAAAUGGUUAUCCAGACCAGCCCUUUAACUCAAGAAUCACAAAUGCAACAUCUAGCAUGGAGAAGCAGGACAGCCCUUCGUAUGUUUGAAGACUGCUCUCUCAUGCCCUCUGCCUUUCUUCCUGAGACCUUCCUGGAAUCAUAGCUCUUCUCUCUGUGCUCAUUCUGUCUGACCCUUCUAAAACGCAAAGAUUGGUACCAACCAGCAUCCUCCUGGGUCAGGAGCAAGGACAGCGAAACCAUGACCACUGAAGUGUUUCUUUUUAACUACAAAUCAUCUAAACUCUCCUUAAAAUUAUUCAAUCUUUUUCCAGGCAAAGAGAUUUUCUUUGGUGAAGAGAAAAAUUGCUUAAAGUGGUUUGACCCACACCUCUCUCUCUGGCCUCCUUCCUCUUCCUAGAAAUCCAGCUAUUGAUUCAGCUUCUACUCAUGCCUGUAAUCUCUUGCUCAAGCGUCACUUCCUCAACGAAGCCGUCUCAGACCAGCUACCAGUCUGGGUCAAGCUCCUCUGUUGAAUGAUAUUUUCCUUUAGAACAUUCAGCUCUGUCUGUAAUUACACACAGUUACUGUGACUUCGUUAUUUGAUGCCUGUGUCCCCGUCUAGAUUGAUAAGCUCUGUGAGAGCAGAGUGCAAGCCUGUAUAGCCUAGCCCAGCUAAUAAAUGGGUAGGUGGUGAGUUGUGAGUGAAUGUGUAGGGGAGUCUGACUUGUCAAUAUUCUGCUUUAUUAUCAGAACAAAUGAAAACUCCAGUUUUUGGUCAUUUUCAUAUGGCUGGAUACCUUCCCCUUCUCAACCUGGCACUUGUAGAAUAAAUUUUAUAACCUAAAUGCAAGACCAGUAUGUAUGUCUCUUAAAGGAUACCUUGACAACUUUACCCUGCAUUCUAGUUUAGUAAACCA
rnacentral:lncRNA from 10 species